GACGAACGCUGGCGGCGUGCUUAACACAUGCAAGUCGAACGGAAAGGCCCUGCUUUUGUGGGGUGCUCGAGUGGCGAACGGGUGAGUAACACGUGAGUAACCUGCCCUUGACUUUGGGAUAACUUCAGGAAACUGUGGCUAAUACCGGAUAGGAGCUCCUGCUGCAUGGUGGGGGGUGGAAAGUUUCUGCGGUUGGGGAUGGACUCGCGGCUUAUCAGCUUGUUGGUGGGGUAGUGGCUUACCAAGGCUGUGACGGGUAGCCGGCCUGAGAGGGUGACCGGCCACACUGGGACUGAGAUACGGCCCAGACUCCUACGGGAGGCAGCAGUGGGGAAUAUUGCACAAUGGGCGGAAGCCUGAUGCAGCAACGCCGCGUGCGGGAUGACGGCCUUCGGGUUGUAAACCGCUUUCGCCUGUGACGAAGCGUGAGUGACGGUAAUGGGUAAAGAAGCACCGGCUAACUACGUG
rnacentral:rRNA from 1 species